UAAAAUGUGCCCCAAUAAUAAAAAAAAAACCUUAAUAUUUAAUCUGACAUUUUAAAAUGCAGCCACAAUAUUUUCAUGGACUCAGAUUUCCCAAGUUUCCCAGCAGCUUAAACUGACUAAAUAUGACUGGACACCGCUUCCUUCCCCAGUCCAGCCUUUCCAGUCCCAUCCAUGCAGUUAAGCCGUCACUUUCAUUCAAGGUUGUGAAUUAUAUAGUACAUUGUCUACUCCCCAAAACCAUAAAACCAACUUUAUGGACCUCACGUGACUUUUCACAGUCUGUAAGUAAUAUAGGCCUAUACGAUCUUUGGCAAGGGGGGAUUUUUACCAACUUCAGCCUCGCCUAUAUACCUGUAAGCCAAAGCCACUCACUUUUUUUGGGGGGAGAUUUUAUCAUCAACAAAUUUCCCACAUGGCAAACACGCGUCUCGCUGCAGAGAGGUCAGAGGAGGUGUGAGCGUGUCCUGAUUUCCCGAUUCAACGCCAACUGUGACUCAAGUCCACGAGGACGUGCAGAGAGACGGGGGGACACGCGCUUCCACACAGACCAUCAUCAUCACGAUCAUCACCACCACCAUCAUCACCAUCAUCACCCACCGUGAUCAAGUGGAAACAAAUUUCUUUUAAAAACUGUGAGUAUAAAUGUCUGAAAUGAGUCUCAGUGUUUGCCUGGAUCAGGAUUUAGUCACCUAUCGAUAACUGUAUUUAGAAAUAGAUCAGCAGAUCAAUUAACGUUACUAUUAGCCCAGUAGUUAUGUCAAUUAAGUAGUAGUUGCUUAUUAAUAACCCCAAAUUUAGUGUCUAUUUCUGCAGUAAAAGCGCUUUAUUUAUAGUUAAUAAAACGAACUUACAGGAUUUUCUUGCAAAAUAAAUGUGAAUUUGUUAAAUUAAGUGUUUCAAUCAUUUAUAUUUAUGAUGUUUAUAAUUCCACUUAGACAAUUUCUAGCUUUUUAAAUUAGGCUACCUUUGGAAAAGUGACCCUAUUAAAUAAAAAAUACACAAAGAUAACGAAAUAAGGCACUGUAUUGUUCAAAUAAUGUGCAUCUUAAAUUUAUUGCAGCGUUAUUGAAUGAAUUAGGCAGAAAAAUAAACAUUUGUAGGACAUUAGCUCAUACAAAAAAAAAUGAAUAAUCCCGUUUUUUCCGUCUUCGCUUUUGCUUAAGAUCCAGCGCGCUUCUGAUGUAAAUACUUUUAUUUGGAAAACAUUUAGAUUUUAAAAAGUUUAAAUUUAAAAAAAAUAAAAUAAAUCUCAACCAGGCCGCAGCCCUGCAGCCUGACAGCUGCUGCACAUCUGGAAAGUGCAAACCAACAGAUGAUGCUCUGUCCCGACACACAGGGACAACAUGUUUUCACAUGAUGGUCUUAUAAAAUUGCAGCAUCAAAUAAAGACACAGAAAAGCGCCAGAAAUCCAACUAAAUGGUCAACGCGGUGAUUAUCGACUCUGUAGUUGUUGCUAAAUCAAAAAUAGGCCACAAUCAGAGCAAAUAUUUGUCCAAAAUUAUAAAAGAUUUGGAGAAAAAAAUGGAGGCGAAACUGCUCGACGAGGAGACAGCGCCGCGCAAUAUCAACACAAAGGACUUCUCACGCGUUUUUCUGAAUAAAACGAACAAUAAAAUAACUUGAAACAGAAUAAACUCUGCCAGCAGAGUAAAAAGUGGAUGGAUUUAUCUGAUUUUGAGGAAAACGCGUCUCAGCGGUAGCAUAGGCCCUGUCUGACCAUCAUCAUCAGCAUCAUCAUCAUCAUCAUCAAAGUCAAGCCUGUCUGGCCUGCAGCCGAAACCACUCCUGAUUAUAAAACAUCGUUUGUCUCCUAAAGGCCUCAAACCUGGAACAUGUAGGAUCAUUUUCACACAUUUCUUUCUUUUUCUUUGCUGAUCUGUCGGCGCUGCAGCGUCUCAGCAACUGGUUGCGAAUAGCUCACGCAGCGCAGGAAGGCAAAGAAAAACACGCGUUGGAAGGGAUAAUUGCCAUUUCUUAACGACUGAUCUUCCCAUUUCUUGUAACAUCGGGCCUACAGUGACAGUUGAGCCACGACAGCGCUGCAGCAGCGCACUUGUGCGGAGUUAAUCACCGGAAUAUUAGAAACACGGUGCCCUUACCUUUGUUGAUAAUCCAUCAUGUCCUGUGUGGCUGCCACUCUGCAGAAGCUCGUCUCGCGUCCUCGCAGUCCUUUCGCCAAAUUUCCCACCAUGUUCAGGUGAUUUCAUGAAAGUAAUCCCACCUUUCCAGGAUUGUGAUGAUCCCUCAUUUUCACGAACAUAUAGCUAACAACACAUUAACAUGGCGCACCACAGAGAGGCACCGCGCGGAAGCUCCAUCGCCCACUUUUGGGAGAUUGCGCACGUACAGCGGAGCAGUUUCUCACAACAACACUGCGUGCGCGUAUUGCAUAUACAAAGAGCCAAGAAAAGAUUGUGUUACUAGUGUUAAGUGAAUGAGCGGUGGAAAACAGCAGCUGCAAUAUAACCUCAUGGGAAAUAAGUUCCCAUUCCUGCUGUCCACAUGACCGCCAGCAACCAAUCCCGGAGCCUGGCGAGUCGUAAACUUCCAUGGCAAAGUUGUAAAUUUUCAUAAACAGCGGCCGUUUUUGUGCUUUAGACAUGCUUUCUCAUCGCCAUCUUUAUUUUCUCCAAGGCCUGAAAUGUUUAAAUUUGAUGCAGGAUAAAAAGGGGAAGUAAAGAUGUGGAAAUGUGAGAGUAUUUUGUGAUAUUGUGCUGGAUGUGCACUUGGUUCUGCUCCAGCUUCUUCGGUUUCUAACUAAAAAGUCUGCGACCAAAACAAAGGAACCGGAUGCAGAGAUGCUGUAAAACUUUAUGGCCUCUCUGACUCGCUGAAAAGCUUCAAGAUGAAACCACACACACAGGAGCCAACUUAUUUUCGAACAUUAAUUAAUAACUUUACA